CAGUAGCCGCGGUAAUACGAGGGGUGCAAGCGUUAUUCGGAUUGAUUGGGUGUAAAGGGUGUGCAGACGGCUUAUUAAGUCACUUGUUAAAUUCUUCGGCCUAACUGAAGGUCUGCAAGUGAUACUGAUGAGCUAGAGGGCGGAAGAGAGAAGUGGAAUUCUCGGAGUAGCGGUAAAAUGCGUAGAUCUCGAGAGGAACACCAAUGGCGAAGGCAGCUUCUUGGUCCAUUCCUGACGUUCAUACACGAAAGCGUGGGGAGCAAACAGGAUUAGAUACCCGCGUAGUCCCUGUCUCUUAUAC
rnacentral:rRNA from 1 species